UACGUAGGGUGCAAGCGUUGUCCGGAAUUAUUGGGCGUAAAGAGCUCGUAGGCGGUCUGUCGCGUCUGCUGUGAAAACUCAGGGCUUAACCCUGAGCUUGCAGUGGGUACGGGCAGACUAGAGUUGGCGAGGGGAGACUGGAAUUCCUGGUGUAGCGGUGAAAUGCGCAGAUAUCAGGAGGAACACCGGUGGCGAAGGCGGGUCUCUGGGCCGAUACUGACGCUGAGGAGCGAAAGCGUGGGGAGCGAACAGG
rnacentral:rRNA from 1 species